rnacentral:rRNA from 1 species
AGCAGCCGCGGUAAUUCCAGCUCCAAUAGCGUAUAUUAAAGUUGCUGCAGUUAAAAAGCUCGUAGUUGAAUUUCGGGGUUAGUAGGUUGGUCAUGCCUCUGGUAUGUACUGGUCUCACUGAUUCCUCCUUCCUGACGAACCUUAAUGCCAUUAAUUUGGUGUUUUGGGAAAUUUGGACUGUUACUUUGAAAAAAUUAGAGUGUUUAAAGCAAGCUAACGCUUGAAUACAUUAGCAUGGAAUAAUGAAAUAGGACGUUUGAUUCUAUUUUGUUGGUUUCUAGGAUCGACGUAAUGAUUAAUAGGGAUAGUUGGGGGCAUUAGUAUUCAAUUGUCAGAGGUGAAAUUCUUGGAUUUAUUGAAGACUAACUACUGCGAAAGCAUUUGCCAAGGAUGUUUUCAUUAAUCAAGAACGAAAGUUAGGGGAUCGAAGACGAUCAGAUACCGUCGUAGUCUUAACCAUAAACUAUGCCGACUAGGGAUCGGAUGAUGUUAAUUUUUUAAUGACUCAUUCGGCGCCUUACG